rnacentral:lncRNA from 1 species
GACACACAGGCAGAUGGACAUGGAGAGGAAUGCACCGACAGGCACCAGCAUGCCAGCAGGCCACCGACCAGGAGAACUAUCCUAUACGGAGUUUAGCUGGGGCACUGAGUGGCCGGACUCCAGUGGAAAACCUUCCCACUCCAUCCCCUUCUGGCUUCCUCCAUCUGCUGAGAGCUACCUCCGCUCAAUAAAACCUUGCACUCACUCUCCAAGCCCAGGUGUGAUCCGAUUCUUCCAGUGCACCAAGCUUUCCCUUCAGUCAUCAAACUGACUAACAGUAGAAGGAAAACCAGGCUUUUGAUUUUGGACAAACUCAUAUACGGAGAGAACCACUUUCAAAAACACAGUUAAAAGAGCCUAUUGAUAACUCCUCUGGGAGUUAGUCUUUAUACAUCCAUCUGUGGGACACGCACAGGCAGAAUUGUGGAAUAUCACCUCAAAAAAGAAAAAUAAGAAAGCAAGAUCAGGAGAAAUGAGACUGGAGCAGAACUGUCAUGCACUGAUCAUCUCUGUGUGGAAUGCAAAAAUGGAUAUGGAUAUUAAACUCCAGGAGAUGUUAUUUGGGAAAGGUGACUGCAAGAAGUCAAGCUAUUCAGAGACUAUACCUGAUCAUGAACAUUGUUCUACCUGUAAUCGUGCUGAGAGAAUAAUAUACUGGUGAGGGUGUGAGGGUGAAAGUAUUAUCACAUUUGCAAAGUAUAAUGCAAUUUCUCUCUCAUGGAGUAAAACUCUCCCUCUCUCUCUCUCUGUCUGUGUCUCUCUCUCUUUCCUACCUCCACUGUUCUAGUAGACCUUGACAUUCUGAAACUGGCCCAACUGUCCCAUAGAACUGAUGUUUAUGGUUUCUUUGAAUAAACACAGAAAUUGAUCCUCCUUGUCUUAA